GCCGGGCGCAGUGGCUCACGCCUGUAAUCCCGGCACUUUGGGAGGCUGAGGCAGGUGGAUCACCUGAGGUCAGGAAUUCAAGAUCAGCCUGACCAACAUGGUGAAACCCUGUCUCUA
rnacentral:SRP_RNA from 1 species